rnacentral:rRNA from 1 species
GACGAACGCUGGCGGCGUGCUUAACACAUGCAAGUCGAACGGAAAGGCCCUGCUUUUGUGGGGUGCUCGAGUGGCGAACGGGUGAGUAACACGUGAGUAACCUGCCCUUGACUUUGGGAUAACUUCAGGAAACUGGGGCUAAUACCGGAUAGGAGCUCCUGCUGCAUGGUGGGGGUUGGAAAGUUUCGGCGGUUGGGGAUGGACUCGCGGCUUAUCAGCUUGUUGGUGGGGUAGUGGCUUACCAAGGCUUUGACGGGUAGCCGGCCUGAGAGGGUGACCGGCCACAUUGGGACUGAGAUACGGCCCAGACUACUACCGGAGGCAGCAGUGGGGAAUAUUGCACAAUGGGAGGAAGCCUGAUGCAGCAACGCCGCGUGCGGGAUGACGGCCUUCGGGUUGUAAACCGCUUUCGCCUGUGACGAAGCGUGAGUGACGGUAAUGGGUAAAGAAGCACCGGCUAACUACGUG